rnacentral:rRNA from 1 species
CCUACGGGUGGCAGCAGUGGGGAAUAUUGCACAAUGGGCGAAACCCUGAUGCAGCGACGCCGCGUGAGUGAAGAAGUAUUUCGGUACGUAAAGCUCUAUCAGCAGGGAAGAAAAAAAGUCCUUUGGACUUUGGACGGUACCUGACCAAGAAGCCCCGUCUAACUACGUGCCAGCAGCCGCGGUAAUAAGUAGGGGGGAAGCGUUAUUCGGCUUUAAUGGUUGUAAAGGGGGCGUAGACGGCAGUGCAAGUCUGGAGUGAAAUGCCCGGGCCCAACCCCGGAACUGCUUUGGAAACUGUGCAGCUGGAGUGCACGAGAGGUAAGCGGAAUGCGUAGUGUAGCGGUGAAAUGCGUAGAUAUUAGGAGGAACACCAGUGGCGAAGGCGGCUUACUGGACUGUAACUGACGUUGAGGCACGAAAGCGUGGGGAGCAAACAGGAUUAGAUACCCGAGUAGUC